CAAAACCUACAAAUAUGAACACACGUUUAGUUUAGCGACUUGAGAACGUGUUUCAACAGAGUUAAGGUCUGCGUACACAGUACCCUCCCCAAACCCCACUAAUGGGAUUUUACUGGGUUGUUGUUGUUGUACCAUGAGUUUUUGGUCGUAGAAGGAUCUGCCUUCUCAAACCUUUUUUUUUGAUAAGGAAAAUAGUUUUAUUAAUGACCUGCACUUUCAAACCUAUCGGUUUGGAUUUCUGGGGGACAAAUGUGUUUUUUUUGCUUGUACGAAGGCAAAGGGAGUGAUCCUGAC
rnacentral:lncRNA from 1 species